rnacentral:ncRNA from 1 species
UAAUAGUAGAGGUUGCUCUGUUUAUGAGUAUAAUAUAUGAUGUCCCGGAGACAAAUGAUUAUAUUAAAAAGGAAACAGUGCCGAAGGGUAAUUAACCGGAAUAUUUACUCUGGGCAUAUGGUUAAUAGCCAUAUGACUGUCAUCAAAUAGAUGAAGAGCUAUUGAUGGAGGGCUACUU